rnacentral:siRNA from 1 species
GUUUGUUGUGUCCGACUUGUUGA